GAACUCUGGAGAAUCUCCCGCUGUGCGGGAGUGCCGAAGGUGCAAGGCGGCCUUGAAUGGUGUGUUGAAACAGCACAUCCGUCAAACCGCUGAAUCUCUCAGGCAAAAGGAAAGAGC
rnacentral:ncRNA from 1 species